GUUGGAUUAUGUGGCCAAGUGGCCAUAUACUUUAGAUUAAACAAACCAAAGGUGGACAACACCUUUCCUUGUUUUGGGGAGGAAAAUAGGGAAAAGGUUUUUUGUCUUGGUCCAUGGGAAGUCACGGUUGAGGUUUUGAAUAAUAAGUUUUGGUUGUAAUGAGAAGUAAGAGUGGGAUAGAAGAGAAGAAAAUAGAGUGCAGAAAAUUGAGAGAGCCGAAGAGAAGAGAGGGAGAGAAAGAAGGUACUGCUACAGUACCAUUUUCAGAGAAGGGGUUGUUGUUCCUUUCAUUGGAUAAUUCUCACUCCAUCAAAGUGUUAUUGUUGUAAUAGCUUUGAGCUUUGUAUAGAGAAGAAAUUAAUCACUAUAUUUCUUUCUCUAUUUGUUUCUUUGGAGUGUGAGUUAUUGGGUUAUUUGGGUUGUGAGAUUGCCAACACUUUGUAAACUCCCAUUUGGUUGAUAGUGGAUUCUUGGGUGAGCUCCUACUGCUCCGAGGACGUACUCUAGUUACACUGACUGUUGAGGAACCUCGUUAAAAUCUUGGUGUCUUUAAUAUUUUGUUCUUGCAUUUUAUUUGAUAUAUUUCCUGUGGGUUAGCUUGAGUUGGUUCCACAAGGGUUUGGUGCUAUCCUAGCACAACAAUUGGUAUCAGAGCACUGGUUGCUCUUGGGUACUGUCUAGUUGCCAAAAAUGUCAGACGGGCAAGAUGAAAAUCCUUUUGGAAGCAGCUCCGGGUUUGCAAGAACGACGGUGCAAAAUGCAAAGUUCGAAGUGGAAAAGUUUGAUGGCACACAAACAACUUCGGGAUGUGGCAAUGUGAGGUCAAAGAUGUGUUGGCUCAACAAGAUCUACUUGCCGCGUUGGGAGAGAAGCCGGAAACUAUGUCGAAGCCGGAAUGGGAAAAAUUAAAUUUGUGGGCUUGCUCUUCAAUUCGGUUGUGCCUUGCAAAAACUCAGAAGUAUUUUGUGAUGCGGGAGACGGUAGCAAGUGUGUGUUGUGGCAAAAAUUGGAAGACAAGUAUAUGACAAAGAGUGCAGAGAACCGACUACACUUGAAGAAAAAAGCUCUACCGCUUCCAAUACAAAGAAGGUACAAAAAUGAUUAGACACCUUGAUGCUUUUAAUAAGUUGAUUGCCGACUUGUUAAAUUUAGAUGAGGAUAUUAAGGAUGAAGAUAAGGCCUUAAUAUUGUUGAAUUCCUUGCCGGACUCUUAUGAGCAUUUUGUUACAACUAUUAUGCAUGGUAAAGAAACUGUGAAAUUUGAAGAUGUGUCAAAUGCCUUGAUGAAUUAUGAAAUGAGGCAUAGAGAUAAAAAUCAUGAUAGUACCUCUGAAGCUUUAUUUGUUAGAGGUAGAUCAUCGGAGAGGAGGUCAUCUUCUAGCAGGAAAAAAUCACAGUCUCGACCUAGAGGAAACUCUAAAGGUAGAAAACCUUUGGAAAGGGAUGAAUGUGCCUUUUGUCGUAAUAAGGGCCAUUGGAAGAAAGAUUGUCCCAAAUUGAAGACCAAAGGAAAAGAAAGUUCUGAAGCUAAUGUUGCUGAGGUUGAAACAGAUUUUUCUGAUUUUGCUUUAACCACUUCCUCAUCAUUUGAUUGUGCUACUAAGUGGGUGUUGGAUACGGGUUGUACUCAUCAUAUGACUCCUCACAAGGAUUGGUUUUCAAGCUUGAAAGAGUUUUGAUGGUGGCGUUGUGUUCAUGGGAGAUGACAAUCCUUGCACAACAAAAGGGAUUGGUACAGUUCGUUUGAAGUUGCAUGAUGGCAUGGUUAAAGAGUUGACAGGUGUUCGGUAUGUACCGAAUUUGAAGAAAAAUCUUAUUUCUUUGGGUACUUUGGAAUCUAAGGGUUUCAGGUUUCAUUCAGAUGGACAGACAUUGAAAGUUACUUAUGGUGCACUUGUUGUGAUGAAAGCUCCUAGAUGUGGCCAUUUGUAUUUAUUGCAGGGAAGCACUGUGACAGGUGAAGCAUCUGUAGUCUCUGAAAAUAUGGGCACAUCUGAUUCAGAUACUACUAGAUUGUGGCAUAUGAGAUUAGGCCAUGCCGGUGAGAAAGCUCUACAAGGGCUUGUGAAAAAAUGUCUUCUAAAAGGUGCCACGACUUGUAAGCUUGAUUUCUGCGAGCAUUGUGUCUUGGGAAAGCAAACUAGAGUGAAGUUUGGUACUGCUGUACAUCAGACGAAGGGCAUUCUUGAUUAUGUGCAUUCGGAUGUUUGGGGUCCUACAAAGACUCCCCUCUUUGAGUGGUAGACAUUGGUUCGUGACCUUUGUUGAUGAUUAUUCAAGAAGGUCUUGGGUCUACACUAUGAAGCAUAAGAGUGAGGUGUUAAGCAUUUUCUUGGGUUGGAAGAAAAUGGUUGAGAACCAGACUGGGAGAAAGAUUAAGAUUUUGAGAUCGGAUAAUGGUGGUGAAUACACAUCCGAUCCUUUCUUUAAAGUUUGCAAAGAGGAAGGAAUUGUGAGACAUUUCAGUGUUCGGGGAACUCCACAACAAAAAUGGAGUUGCAGAAAGAUUGAAUCGAACCUUGCUUGAGAAAGGUUAGAUGUAUGUUGUCUCAGUCGGGUUUAAGCAAGUCAUUUUGGGCAGAAGCAGUUAAUUAUGCAUGUCACAUCAUCAACCGGUUACCCUCAGCUGCUAUUCAGGGUAAGACACCAAUGGAGGUAUGGACUGGAAAACCUUCUUCUGAUUAUGAUCAUAUUCGUAUUUUUGGUUCACCUGCUUAUUUUCAUGUAACUGAAAAUAAACUUGAUCCUAGAGCCAAAAAGGCUAUCUUUCUUGGUUUUAGUAGUGGUGUCAAAGGUUACAGGUUGUGGUGUCCAGAGAUGAAGAAACUGGUAAUUAGUAGAGAUGUGACAUUUGACGAAGAAAGUAUGUACAAAGUCUCUGAGAAGAAUGUGAAAGAUGUCCAACAGGUGGAGCUUGAGAAAGUUGCUUCUGGUACUUCAAAUCCUAUUUCCGCUGAUGUCGAAGCCACUACAAGUGAAGAAGUUGGAGACCAUGAGGAUGUUGAAGAAGUUGAACUUGAAGAUUCUAUUCAAGUUGAAGAGCAAGUUUCACCUCAAGAGUCUAUUGCCAAGAACAGAGGAAAGAGACAAAUUACUAAGCCAGCUCGGUAUAGUGAUUAUGUUGCUUUUUGCUCUUCCUAUUAUCACUGAAGAGAUUCCAUCCAAUUUUGAGGAAGCUAUUGAGAGUGAGGAGAAGAAUAGGUGGUGCAAUGCCAUGGGUGAUGAGAUGAAUUCUCUCUUGAAGAACAAGACUUGGGAGUUAGCUAAAUUGCCUAAGGGCAAGAAAGCUAUUGGUUGCAAAUGGGUGUAUGCCAAGAAGGAAGAUGCUGAUGAGAAAAGCAAUGUGAGAUUUAAAGCAAGAUUAGUUGCUAAAGGGUAUGCACAAAAGGAGGGCAUUGACUACAAUGAAAUCUUUUCUCCGGUUGUGAAGCACUCCUCAAUUCGCAUUAUGUUAGCUCUUGUUGCACAGUAUGAUCUUGAGCUUGUGCAACUUGAUGUAAAAACGGCUUUCCUACAUGGUGAUUUGAAUGAAGAGAUUUAUAUGUGUCAACCAGAUGGGUAUAUAGUGAAAGGGAAGGAGAAUUUGUUUUGCAAAUUGAAGAAAUCACUUUAUGGUUUGAAGCAAUCUCCAAGGCAAUGGUAUUUGAGGUUUGAUAAAUUUAUGAGAGGCCAAAAUUAUUCUAGAAGUCAAUAUGAUCAUUGUGUGUACUUCAAGAAGUUGCAAGAUGGGUCUUUCAUUUAUUUAUUGAUAUAUGUUGAUGAUAUGUUGAUUGCCUCAAAGAAUGUCGAAGAGAUUGAGAAAUUGAAGAAGCAAAUGAAGAAUGAGUUUGAGAUGAAGGAUCUUGGUGAAGCGAAGAAGAUCCUUGGCAUGGAGAUCACUAGAGAUAGAGCAAAGGGUUUCGUCAGUUUGAAUCAAAAACAAUACCUUGAGAAGUUGAUUCGGAAGUUUGGAGUUCAUGAUUCAACCAAACCGGUUAGUACCCCUUUGGCUCCUCAUUUUAAAUUGAGUUCUCUACAAUGUCCUAAAAUCGAUAAAGAGAAACUGCAAAUGAAAAAUAUACCAUAUGCAAAUUUGGUUGGUAGUUUGAUGUAUGCAAUGGUAUGCUCUAGACCGGAUAUUGCUCAUGCAGUUGGCAUGGUGAGUCGAUAUAUGCAUAAUCCAAGUAAAGAGCAUUGGCAAGCAGCUAAGUGGAUAUUGAGGUAUCUCCAUGGUACUCGAGAUGUUGGUUUAUGCUUUGAGAGGGAUGACUCUGGUAUUGGUCAUUUUGCAGUUGGUUAUGUUGAUUCAGAUUAUGCAGGUGAUCUGGAUGGAAGGAAGUCUACUACAGGCUAUGUGUUUACUAUGGCUAAAGGGCCAGUUUGUUGGAGGUCCAUUUUGCAGUCGUCUGUUGCCUUGUCUACUACAGAGGCUGAAUAUAUGGCAGUUGCUGAAGCUAUAAAGGAGGCCAUUUGGAUACAUGGGCUUAUUAGAGAUUUGGGGGUUGAUCAGAAGCAGGUGGAGGUACAUUGUGAUAGUCAGAGUGCCAUUUAUUUGGCUAAGUAUCAGGUUCAUCAUGCGAGGACCAAGCACAUAGAUGUGCGUUAUCACUUUGUUCGUGAAAUUGUUGGUGAAGGGGAAAUCAUUCUCCAGAAGAUUCCAACUAAAGACAACCCCGCUGAUAUGUUGACUAAGGUUGUUGGUGUAGCCAAGUUUGUUCACUGUUUGAACUUGGCUCACAUUUUGCCUAUAUAAAGAAGGCGUUGAGUAGUAGGAGUUUUGGAGCAUUUGGCUCAGCAUGAGUUGUUCUCUUGCUAGUGUUUGGGAGUGAUGUUGUGUGCUAAUUGUGUUGGUUGGCUUAUCAUGGCGUUUUCGGAACUUGGCCAAGGUGGAGAUUGUUGGAUUAUGUGGCCAAGUGGCCAUAUACUUUAGAUUAAACAAACCAAAGGUGGACAACACCUUUCCUUGUUUUGGGGAGGAAAAUAGGGAAAAGGUUUUUUGUCUUGGUCCAUGGGAAGUCACGGUUGAGGUUUUGAAUAAUAAGUUUUGGUUGUAAUGAGAAGUAAGAGUGGGAUAGAAGAGAAGAAAAUAGAGUGCAGAAAAUUGAGAGAGCCGAAGAGAAGAGAGGGAGAGAAAGAAGGUACUGCUACAGUACCAUUUUCAGAGAAGGGGUUGUUGUUCCUUUCAUUGGAUAAUUCUCACUCCAUCAAAGUGUUAUUGUUGUAAUAGCUUUGAGCUUUGUAUAGAGAAGAAAUUAAU
rnacentral:lncRNA from 1 species